rnacentral:rRNA from 1 species
UACGGGGGGGGCAAGCGUUGUUCGGAAUUACUGGGCGUAAAGGGCUCGUAGGCGGCCAACUAAGUCAGGGGUGAAAUCCUGGAGCUCAACUCCAGAACUGCCUUUGAUACUGGAGAGCUUGAGUCCGGGAGAGGUGAGUGGAACUCCGAGUGUAGAGGUGAAAUUCGUAGAUAUUCGGAAGAACACCAGUGGCGAAGGCGGCUCACUGGCCCGGUACUGACGCUGAGGUGCGAAAGCGUGGGGAGCAAACAGG